rnacentral:misc_RNA from 1 species
GAUGAAGAACGUAGCGAAAUGCGAUAAGUAAUGCGAAUUGCAGAAUUUCCGUGAGUCAUCGAAUCUUUGAACGCACAUUGCGCCCACUGGUAUUCCGGUGGGCAUGCCUGUUCGAGCGUCAUUAUACUCCCUCAAACCCCGGGUUUGGUGUUGGACCCAAGUUGUGUGAACAACUGGUCUCAAAGACAAUGACGGCGUCCGUGGGACCCUCGGUGCAACGAGCUUUUAGGAGCACGCAUCGAGUUGCAAGGACCUUCCGGGCCGGUCUCCUUUACCAUUUUACAAGGUUGACCUCGGAUCAGGUAGGAAUACCCGCUGAACUUAAGCAUAUCAAUAAGCGGAGGA